rnacentral:lncRNA from 1 species
GACAAAUUCAGGAUUUGUGCUAGCAUUGAGAUUUAUCUUUCUGUUUUGCAGGUAAUACAAGUGUAAAGGCUGGUUCUAAGACAGGCCAGUGGAUAUUAAAGUCAGUUGGGAAGCUGGCAGUGAGGCUGAGGUUGGGCAGCAUUUGGAGAGCCGAGGGCUAAAAAGGAUUUUGGUGAUCUGUUGAGGUCUGUACUGUGAAGAGAGGCUGGUGAAAGUGUCAGCAAAUCCAUGAGGCCCUCUAUGGGAAAUGGCUGCAGGAUAAGGUUUAAAACAAAAAUCAGGGAAGAACAGUUAUAGAGGAUAGACUUAGCAGUGAGCUCUGUGGGAUCUGCGAGGUGAGGAUGAAGACUUGAACCAGUAGCUAGCACUGAGAAACAACAGGCAAUCUUUGAGUAUCCUGAACCAAUGGAAGAUGUCUCUGCUUGUGUCAGGAAUUUGGAACUGGAAGACCUUUUCAUGUCACUUCCAACUCAAACCAUUGUGAUUCCGUAAUAUAGAACCCUUGUAAGACUUUCAGUGUGAAUGUGAGUCUUAGUGUCUGGAAAAUGCUCAUUUAGUAAACUUCAUGGCAUUCAGUUCCAGAAGAACUGAAAUCCAGACUGAGUGCUGCAGGCUCAGCAGCUUGUCCUAGGAGGCUGACAUUUCUCAUCUGAUGUUUAACCACUGUAGAGUCCUUCCUGCCAGCUGCUACUCAAUUCCCAUGAAAUAGAGCAAAGUAUUGUAAUCUAAAGUUUCACCUCAGCCACAAGUUGAUGCGAUCUUUGUGUGCAAAUUGCACCAGAAGUGCUUAGCCAAGUUGCUUGUGGAGUCAUAAGCAGCUUCUCUUGCUGUCACUGCCUUCCUACUGUUGGUACCUGAAAUGGUUCUUCUAUACAAAAGUUACACAGUGCGGAUUCUGCUCCUUGGAAAUCAAAGGGAGUUCCUGUGAACACCAGUUAACCAGAAGGAAUCUCUCAGGGUUCUGCUGCAGUGGUAGCGGAGAGGAAGGGAGAGACAGAAAAGGAAGAAAACAUGGCAUUCAAAGAACAUUGAAAGAGCUUGAAGUCUGACAAAACUGAACUUCUUUCUAAUUUGUGAACUUACGAAGCUGCUGAAAUUGUUAGUCUCAUCACAGUGGAAAACCUAAUUUAAUCUGGGAGUUGAGCCCUUCUCUAACUGCUGAAGAGACUCGCAGAUUAUGGGUUAGAGACAGCACUGUGGGGGCAAUCUGUAUCUCUUUGUCCAUUGCCUGUGGGACCUGAACAUGGACAACUCUGUUACUCUUAGUGCACAGUUACUCAAACCUUUGAUUAAUCUUAAAC